UACAUACAAACAUUUAUGAAAAAAUGGAAAUUAUAAAGUCUACGCAUAGCGUGGACGGACCUGAAUCGUGGCGUUUAACGCUCGAUCAGGAUCUAAUCGACACGCUGAAGGGAAGCUUUCCAAAUUGGUUUCAAACAGAUAAUCCAUCAGAUUGUUGUAAUACAAAUAGUAAUAGUAUAGCUUCAUCUUCACCAACAUCAUCAUUAUCAACAUCUGGUUUAUAUUCAUCUGGUUGCUCAUCUAUAGCAUCUACAACAUCGUCAAUUGAUUCAGCAAUUGGAAUUAGUUGUAUUAGUAAUAGUUGUAGUAGUAAUAGCGGUGGUAAUAAUUCUGGUGGUGUACAAAUUAAUGGUGUCUCUUCAACAUCAUCAUCAUCUUCUUCAUCAUCUUCAUCAUUAUCGUUAUUAUCAUCUUCUCCAAUUUUAUCUUCAUCAUCAGCAUCAUCUUCAGCUUUAUCAACGACAUCACCAUCAUCAUUAUCAUCAGUAUCAAUAAUUGGAUCAUCGUCGAGAUCAUCAUCUUCACCAUCUUCUACAACAUCAUCAGAAAAUAUAAUUAAUAAUAAUAAUAGUGGAAAUUGUAAUUGUAAUAGUGAAAAUAAUAAUUGUUUAAAUAAUAAUUGUAAUAGUAAUAAUAAUAAUAACAAUAAUAGUAACAGUAAUAAUUGUUGCUGUAAUAUUCAACAAAAUUCAAUAAAAUUAGAAGAAACAACAUCAUCUUUAAUAACAACAACAACUUCUACUGAAUUAAUACCAUCAAACAGUGACCUAUUAUUACCAUCAUCAUCAACAUCAAUUAGCGGAAUUGAUAAAUUUCCUUGUCGUAAGGGUUUAAUUGCUUCAAUAUCAACAUUAGAUCAAACAUUUCAUCAAAUUAUCUUUGACGAAUCAUCCUACGACGAAAUGGCUGACGGUGAUCAUUCAGAAAAUUUACCAACAUCAUCAUCUGGUGCAUCAUCUUUAGUAGCUGAAUCACCAGAUGGUGUAUCAGAAUAUGAUUCAAGACAAUCACCACCGAAAGCUGUUAUUGAUUCAAGUCCUUUACAACCACAAUUGGAUAAAAAUAAAGAAUCUCUUAAAGUUAAACUAAUGGUUAGAAGACCAAUAACACAGCUGGUUGAACAAGGAAUAAUACCUGCAUUAAAAACAUCACCGGCAAUUCAUGAACAAUGUAAACAACUAGAGCGUGCUAAAACUGGUGAUUUACUUAAAGCAAAAAUUCAACAAAGACCAAAUCGUCAAGAAUUGGAACGUCGUCAUAUAUUAGAACAUGAUGAAAGUCACGUUGAUCCGAGUUUAGCUGAAAAACAGCGUAUGCUAAAAAAAGCACGUUUAGCAGAUCAACUAAAUUCACAAAUAUCACAUCGCCCUGGUCCAUUAGAAUUAAUAAAAAAAAAUAUUUUACAUACAGAGAAACCAAUUGAAAAAAUUGUUAAAGAAGGUUUAGUUUCAUUUAAAGCAACAUCAGAGGGAUUAUUAACACGACCGCAACAUCCAAAUAGUUAUAUAACAUUCGAAGAUGAUUCACAAAGCUCUGAAAGUGAUACAAGAAAUACUCCACCACGACAAACUGAUUUAAAUGAAUUUGCAAUACCAAUAAAUUCACCAGCUAGUUGUUCAUCUGAUAUAACAAAUCAACAACACAUUUUGCAACAUAAUCAAACAACAACAACAACUUCUCCUGGUUUAGUAACACUUGCAUUAACAAUUCCAACAAGUGCUGGACAAGUUGUUGUAACAUCAGCACCAAUUAUUCAAACAAAUAAUAAUAGUAAUAAUAAACAAUCGUUGUCAACAAAUCAAUUACAAUUAAAUCAAAAUAAUUUAAUAGCGGUAACUCCGCCACCACCUCCACCUCCACCACCACCGUUAAUGAGUACAACCUCAAAUGCAAUACAAGUAAAACAAGACACAUCAAAUUUGUUUGCUGAAUUAUGUCAAUCAGUUGCUGGACCCAAUUCGAGUCCUAACUUUUUACCAUUAAUUGCAAGUCCUGGUUCAUUGGGUUCUAGUGCAUCAACUUUAAGUCCUUUAUCAUCGGUAUCAUCACCGCCACAAUCAUUAACGCCACGAUUAGCACAAUCACCAGCUCUUCAAUUCCAUUCAAUACAACAGCAGCAACAAAAAUCAGAUGCUCCUGGUAAAGAUAAAAAUCGAAAAAAGAGUAAAACUAAACCGGUUUGUAAAGCACGUACAAUCAAAUUUCAUGAAUAUAAAGGACCACCUAAUUCUGCUGCUGCCCAAAAACUAAACGUCACGGGUUCAUCAAAUGAUAUGCAAACCGAUCAGUCGACAUGCGAAACUUCAUAUCAGUUGAUGUUAGAGCAACAAAACUGUUUACUUAAAUUUUUGGAGAAUUUAAAUAAAAAUCAGUCUGUAUUGCCUGCCACUACUGGCAGUUCUACCAAUUCCAGUACAACAAUUAAAUUUUCUGCAACUCCAACUGUCAAUUCAACAGUUGUAACAACAACUGGUCGUGAUACACCAGUUAAUAAUCAAAUUGUAACAACUAAUUCAACGAUUCCACAUCCACCGCCACUGCCAUCGCCAGCAUUAUCAGUUGUUUCAUCUAUUCCACCGCCAAGUCCGGCACCUAGCAGUUACGCUGAAUCAACAUGUUCUGCAACAGUAUCUAGCACUCAAGUUAUAACCGAUCUUGGACGAUUAGAGAAAAUGAAGGUUUCUGACUUAAAAUUGCAUCUUAAAAAACGUAAUUUACCUGUAUCAGGUCCAAAACCUCAGUUGAUUGAACGUUUGAGACCUUAUUUGCCUUUAGAUCCUUUAGAUAUUGUCCCUACAACUAAUAGCACGCCAAUCCCUGUUGUUGCAGAUGUUCCUAUGAAUGAUACCACGGAGUGUGAAGAUACCAUUAUGUAUGUUAAUUCGCCUAAGAAUGCUAUGAUUGUUGAUUCUCCAAAACCUAGCACUGUUAUUCAACAAGUUGAAUCCAUGGAUAUAGUUCAAAUAGAGUCACCGGCUGCUGUAGUGGUUCAAGCAACACCAAUUGUGACACCCGCUCCACAGGUGGGAACGAUUUUGGCUACAAUUGCUCCUGUAACUAAAUCAUCAUCUGCAAAGCAGUCUAAAACUCCUACUUUAUUACAACAAGUAUCGCAACAGCAAAUUUUGCAGACGUCAAAUGAAGAUCUUGUAAGAGAACAACAACGAGAAAUCGCUGAGUUAAAACGCGAAUUACAAAGGAGUCAGCAAGAGCUAUUGCAAAUGAGACAAAGUAAACAACAAGCACAAAUUUUAUUAGUAGAACAACCAAUAACACCUCAAAUUCAUUUGACUCAAGCAAAACCAAUUGUACAACAGCAACCUGUUCAAACCAAGUCCACCCCUAUAAAUCAAAAAUUAGUGGUUAAGCAACAGUUAGAGGCUAAAAUACAAAAGCAAAAGGCAGCACAACAACAAGCACAAGCUCAAGCUGCAGCAGCCGCUCAAGCAGUUCAAAAACAAGCAACAACAACGCAACUAGUCCUUACAACCACAGCAACGCCUACGGGAAAUGGUAUAAAUAACAAAACAACUCCAGCUUUGAUUAUACCGACUAAACAAGAGGACAAAUCCCGUCAGGCUACAAUAAUUACUACAACAACGCAACAAAAACAGCCACAAGCAACAAUAACUGCACACCCCACUACCACACAAAAUUUGGGAUUUGUUUGGAAUAAUGAGAAUCAAACCAUAUUUUUAGUAGAAAUUCCACCACCAGCACAACUACACGAUGCUAAUAAGAAGAUUAUAAAUGGACAUCAAAGAACUGCGUCACUACCGAGUAUUGUAUUUCCGAUAGCAACGACUACAAUACCACAAACUAUAACAUCUUCACAACAUAAUUCAACACAACAUAUUCAAAUUCAAAAAAAUGAAUCAAAGCCGUUGCCGCCAUUAGUACAUCAGACUAUGUCAAAUAUAGAUAUUCCAACCCAAAUACAAUUAGAUAUAAAACCCCCGCCACCAUUAUAUGAAGAAGCGAUUGCUAAGCAUAAAUUACAAAUAAAUUCUCAACCGCCACAAUUGAUUUCGACCACUGCACCAAAUUCAAAUACAACUAAUUUAACUUCAAUGACAAAGUCAUCUUUAACUAUAACUCCUCCUGUCCUCAAAAUUAAAAAGGAAAUAUUGGAUAAUACAGUGAAUAAUAGCAAUAACAGCAAUAACAAUUGUUACAAUAAAUCAGUCAAUAGCGCAACCACCUCUAGUAAUUCUAAUAACAACAGUAACAAUAGAAAUGACAACAACAGUAGUAAUAAUAGUGGCGAUUUGAAAAAACAUUCUUUUAAAUCUGAAAAUCUUUCUGACGUUUUAGAUAUUUUGAUACAAAACGGUGAAUUGCCACAAAGUGCUUUAGAUACUCCUACUACUCCCAGUACUAAUUCGAAUGUUAUUCAACAAGAUGGUCAGUUAUUAUUUACAUCAGUUCAACAGCAAGAAAUUCAACAGCAAAAGACUCAACAGCAGACAUCACCAUCCACAUCAUCAUCGCCAGCAACAUCAAAUAAUUUGUUAAAUCAAAUCACUGAAAUACAACAACAACAACAACAGCAACAAAAUAUAUCUACCGCAGUUGAUAAUAUACAUCAAAUGAAUUUAAUUACAUCUUCAGACGUUACGAAUUCUUCACCAGCAGCAACAAUAACUGGUGAUACGCAAAUACUUGAUAAUUCCGAUUUUCAUUCAUCUUUACUUCUGAACACUCCUCUUAAUAUUGAAAAUAUUGAUAUGGCAUCUCCAAUGCAACCUGAUUGUCAUAUCGAUGACGUUGUUACAAAAUCUAUUGAUGCAUUUCUUGAGCAGGCUCAACAAGAUCAUCAAAAUGAUCAACAACAACAAAAACAACAAAGUUUUAACAGUAAUAAUAGUAACGCGGGAAAUUUAAAUGCACUUCACCAACAUCAUAAUCAUCUUCCACAUCACAUAACAAAUAAUUUAGAACACUUUGAUGAUUUGGUACUGGAAUUAAUGAGUCAACAAUUAGAUAUGGACAUUAGCGAAGAAACGUGUCAUAAUUUUCCAUCAAUGAUCAUUGAUAGUAAUUCAAAUACAUCGUCUGAAUUACUUCAAAAUCAUAAUAAGUUAUCAAAUUUAAGCGUAAGACGUGAUAUGAAUCCAAGUUUACAACCAUCUAUAAAUGAAUUAAUACAACAACAAUUGCAUCAUCACUUACAAAAUUUACCAUUGCAACAGUUCAAACAACAUUCAAAUCAACAACAACGACAUCCUCAACAACACCCACAACCACAUCUUCAGUUACAACAACAGCAACAGCAUCAUAAUCAACAACAGCAACAAAAUCAACAUGAAAAUAAUAGUAAUAUUAAUAGUAGUAGCCAUCAUCAUAAUACCAUAGGUCGAUCAAAUUUACUAGUUAACGGUAAUAUUGAUCAUCAAGCAAUGGCUACUGAUUCAACAAAUGCUUUUGAUACAACUCAUUUUGAUAUUGCAUCAAGUCCAACAAAUAAUAAUUUUAGUACAACACCAAUGGAUGUUUGUGACGAUUUUGAUAAUCCAUUGGCUAGCUUAGGUUUUACAACAAGUUUUUCACCAGAUUCUAAUAUAAAUACACCACCACAUCCGUUCUCAUCUGGUUUAUCAAAUAAUUCAAAUAGUAAUGAUGGUUGUGGUAUUAGUCAUAAUAAUAAUAACAAUAAUAAUAACAAUAAUAAUAGAAAUAAUAGUACUAAUAUUGGUAAUAGUGGAAUAUGUGGUUUUAGUAAUAAUAUUAAUAUAAAUCGUAAUGGUCCUAAUUCAAUAUUAUCAACAUCAAGUUGUUCAAGUAAUCAAAAUUCACCAGAAUUUCAAAUUCAUAAUGAUUAUGGUAGUGGUAUCGGUAAUGGUGGUAAUAGUAAUGGUGGUAAUAGCAAUUGUAGUAAUAGUAGUGCGAAUGAUAAUACAUUUAAUACACAUUUGCCAAUUAGUCAAGAUAAUAUACUGGAUUUAUUUAAUAUUGAUGACUUUAAAAUGGGUGGACCAUGGAGUGAAAUUGAUUAUGCUGUGUAAAAUAGUGCUACGAAAUGAUUAAAUUAAAAAAAGAAAAAAACUAAAUAAUGAUGACACGAAACAAAAAUGAAAAAAAUUUUGGAGUUUUAUACUUAAAGGAGGUAAUUCGUGGAAUUCAUGCUUUAUUUUUUUUUUUCCUUUUUUAAUAUUAGAAAAAUAUGAAAAUUAUACUUAAAAAAUUGCAUUCAUGGAGCGCAUACAUGAAGUAAAAUUAGAAAAAAUCAAAAAAAGAAUAAUAAUAUUUUUCAUCAUUCCAACUAUUAAAAUUAUUAUUUAAUGUGUAUGUAAAUAAAAAUUUAUAUAAAAUAAAGCGAAAAAAAAAAAUUAAAAAACUUAAAAAACAGAAACAAUAAUAUAAAUAUCACAAAGAAAAUAAUGAGAAACAAAAAAUAAUUAAUAUUAUAAAUUUAUAUUUUAAAAAACAAUAAGUUCGCUAAAAUAUCACAGAAAAUAAAAAAAAAAUUAACAAAAUUAAGCAAACAAAAUGAAACAUUUUUUCAAUUAUUGUAAAAUUUUUUUUUUAAUUAAUUAUGUACAAAGGUCAAAAAACAAAAAAUAAAAAAUAAUAAAAAAAUACUAGAAAAACAUUUUAGUUAUGUUUAAAUAUUAUUUUAGUUUGCUAAAUUUAUCAUAAAAUAACUAAAUGUUUUUUUUUUUUAAAUAAUUCUGCGUUUAAUUUUUUAUUUUUGAAUUCGCAUGAAAAUUAAAAUUGUAAAUAUAAUUUUGGAAUUUUGAUUUAAAUUAAAAAUUCUUCUUGUUAUUAGAGGCAAAUUUAAAAAAUAUUUACAACUAAAAUUUUUAAAUGUAAACUUAAGAUAUUGUUCAGAACAGAAUGUUGAAGCUAAAUGACAGGCUUUUGACCAACACAAUCAAAAAACAACAAUUUAUUUAUUACAUAAGUAAAUAUGAACACUUUACUUACGUAAUACAUUUACUUUUAUUUUCAUGCGAAUGCUUAAUAAAUAUUUAUGUAUGUCUCAAAUGUCUUGUCCACUUGUUUUUUUUUUUUUAUUUUUUUUAUGUUUUAUUAUUAAAACUUAGUUAUAUUAUUUAUAUGAAAUUAUAUUUUAAUAUUUUAUAAGCUUAACAUCGACAACGAAUUUUUUUUUUUUGAAAUGCAAGUUAUGUAUAACAUAUAUUUUGUUUUUGAAUUUUUCAAAUUAAAUAAGUCAUAAUUAUUAAUAUAAAGUUACACAUGACAUUAAAAAUUUUUAAUAUUUUUAUAAAUAUAAGAUAAUUUUGUAUAG